rnacentral:rRNA from 1 species
UACGUAGGGGGCGAGCGUUGUCCGGAAUCAUUGGGCGUAAAGCGCGUGUAGGCGGUCCGGUAAGUCCGCUGUGAAAGUCGGGGGCUCAACCCUCGGAUGCCGGUGGAUACUGUCGGGCUUGAGUACGGAAGAGGCGAGUGGAAUUCCUGGUGUAGCGGGUGAAAAUGCGCAGAUAUCAGGAGGAACACCAAUUGCGAAGGCAGCUC